rnacentral:tRNA from 1 species
GCAUUAAUGGGGUAGUGGUAACCUGGGUCGUUGCCAUAUCGAGCAGACUAGCUCGACCCGCCGGGGGUUCGAUUCCCUCUUAAUGCA